AAAGUUAAACGGCCGCGGUAUUCUGACCGUGCAAAGGUAGCAUAAUCACUUGUUCCUUAAUUAGGGACUAGAAUGAACGGCAAAACGAGGGUUUAACUGUCUCUUACUUCUUAUCAGUGAAAUUGACCUUCCCGUGAAGAGGCGGGAAUAACCAAAUAAGACGAGAAGACCCUAUGGAGCUUUAAUUUAUUAGCUCAACUUCUUAACAAUAAUAAUCUAAUGAAUUAACAACUGAAAACUAAGCUAAUAAUUUCGGUUGGGGUGACCUCGGAGAAUAAAACAACCUCCGAAAGAUUAUAAUCUAGACUGACAGAUCAAAGUAUAACCAUGUUAAUCAAAUUGACCCAAUCACUUGAUCAACGAACCAAGUUACCCUAGGGAUAACAGCGCUAUCUUAUUUAAGAGUUCAUAUCGAAAAUAGGGUUUACGACCUCGAUGUUGGAUCAGGAUAUCCCAA
rnacentral:rRNA from 1 species